AGUGCUCCUGCCGAGAGUCCCGCAGUCGUCAUGUCCCGCUACCUGCGUCCCCCAAACACGUCUCUGUUCGUAAGGAAUGUGGCCAACGAUACCCGGUCUGAAGAUUUACGACGUGAAUUUGGUCGUUAUGGUCCUAUAGUUGAUGUGUAUGUUCCACUUGAUUUCUACACUCGCCGUCCAAGAGGAUUUGCUUAUGUUCAAUUUGAAGAUGUUCGUGAUGCCGAAGAUGCUUUACAUAAUUUGGACCGAAAAUGGAUUUGUGGUCGCCAAAUUGAAAUACAGUUUGCACAGGGAGAUCGGAAGACUCCAAAUCAGAUGAAAGCCAAGGAAGGGAGGAAUGUAUACAGUUCUUCACGUUAUGAUGAUUAUGACAGAUACAGGCGUUCUAGAAGCCGAAGUUAUGAAAGAAGGAGAUCAAGAAGUCGGUCCUUUGAUUACAACUAUAGAAGAUCCUAUAGUCCUAGAAACAGUAGACCGACCGGAAGACCACGGCGUAGCAGAAGCCAUUCCGACAAUGAUAGAUUCAAACACCGAAAUCGAUCUUUUUCAAGAUCUAAAUCCAAUUCAAGAUCACGGUCCAAGUCCCAGCCCAAGAAAGAAAUGAAGGCUAAAUCACAUUCUAGGUCUGCAUCUCACACCAAAACUAGAGGCACCUCUAAAACAGAUUCCAAAACACAUUAUAAGUCUGGCUCAAGAUAUGAAAAGGAACCAAGGAAAAAAGAACCACCUAGAUCCAGAUCUCAGUCAAGAUCACAGUCUAGGUCUAGGUCAAAAUCUAGAUCCCAAGUCCAGUGGCCACUGAUAGUAUAA